CUCUUGGGUUGUAAACCUCUUUUAUUCGGGAAGAAGAUCUGACGGUACCGAAUGAAUCAGCAUCGGCUAACUCCGUGCCAGCAGCCGCGGUAAUACGGAGGAUGCAAGCGUUAUCCGGAUUUAUUGGGCGUAAAGCGUCCGCAGGUGGUUUUUCAAGUCUGCUGUUAAAGCGUGGGGCUUAACUCCAUACCGGCAGUGGAAACUGAGAGACUAGAGUCUGGUAGGGGUCACGGGAAUUCCCAGUGUAGCGGUGAAAUGCGUAGAUAUUGGGAAGAACACCAGCGGCGAAAGCGCGUGACUGGACCGGAACUGACACUCAUGGACGAAAGCUAGGGGAGCGAAAGGGAUUAGAUACCCCUGUAGUCCUAGCUGUAAACGAUGGAUACUAGGUGUUGCCCGUAUCGACCCGGGCAGUGCCGUAGCUAACGCGUUAAGUAUCCCGCCUGGGGAGUACGCACGCAAGUGUGAAACUCAAAGGAAUUGACGGGGGCCCGCACAAGCGGUGGAGUAUGUGGUUUAAUUCGAUGCAACGCGAAGAACCUUACCAGGGCUUGACAUGUCGCGAAUCCCGGUGAAAGUCGGGAGUGCCUUCGGGAGCGCGAACACAGGAGGUGCAUGGCUGUCGUCAGCUCGUGUCGUGAGAUGUUGGGUUAAGUCCCGCAACGAGCGCAACCCUCGUUUCUAGUUGCCAGCAUUCAGUUGGGCACUCUGGAGAGACUGCCGGUGACAAACCGGAGGAAGGUGGGGAUGACGUCAAGUCAGCAUGCCCCUUACGUCCUGGGCUACACACGUACUACAAUGCUUCGGACAGAGGGUUGCCAGACCGCGAGGUUGAGCUAAUCCCGUAAACCGAGGCUCAGUUCAGAUUGCAGGCUGCAACUCGCCUGCAUGAAGGCGGAAUCGCUAGUAAUCGCAGGUCAGCAUACUGCGGUGAAUACGUUCCCGGGCCUUGUACACACCGCCCGUCACACCAUGGGAGUUGGCCACGCCCGAAGUCGUUACUCCAACCUUUAUGGAGGAGGAUGCCGAAGGCAGGGCUGAUGACUGGGGUGAAGUCGUAACAAGGUAGCCGUACCGGAAGGUGUGGCUGGAUCACCUCCUUUU
rnacentral:rRNA from 1 species